rnacentral:rRNA from 1 species
GACGAACGCUGGCGGCGUGCUUAACACAUGCAAGUCGAACGGAAAGGCCUCAGCUUGCUGGGGUACUCGAGUGGCGAACGGGUGAGUAACACGUGGGUGAUCUGCCUUGCACUCUGGGAUAAGCUUGGGAAACUGGGUCUAAUACCGGAUAUGAACUGCCUUUAGUGUGGUGGUUGGAAAGUUUUUUCGGUGCAAGAUGAGCUCGCGGCCUAUCAGCUUGUUGGUGGGGUAAUGGCCUACCAAGGCGUCGACGGGUAGCCGGCCUGAGAGGGUGUACGGCGACAUUGGGACUGAGAUACGGCCCAGACUCCUACGGGAGGCAGCAGUGGGGAAUAUUGCACAAUGGGCGGAAGCCUGAUGCAGAGACGCCGCGUGGGGGAUGACGGCCUUCGGGUUGUAAACUCGUUUCGACAGGGACGAAGCUUUUUGUGACGGUACCUGUAGAAGAAGCACCGGCUAACUACGUG